CUCACACUCCCAUCGCAUCCAACAAUUUCAUUGGAUCGAGCAAUUGGUCAUGGCGUUCAACAGCGCUCAACUGCUUGCUGCCUUCUCCUUGGCCCUGCUCCUCAUUUCCUCCGGUGCUGCGCUGAAAGAUUGCGCCCGUAUUGAUAUUGGUGAAUGCAACCAACAUAAAUGCAUUACAGCCUGCAUCAAAUUAAACUUCAAUACGGCUAUCUGCGAUAAUGACGCAACCAGCAAAGACAGCGGAGGAGACGUUUCCUUGAACGAGAUGGGGUUAUAUGGGUCGUGCGUGUGUUGUUAGAUUUUAUUUUAUGGGCUUCCUCUUCUUAAAAUUGUAAACCUUGCCCUGUCAGAUAAUAAAAAUCCAAGGACUCUUCUGGCUCGAAUUUGAUUUC